GUUGAACGCUGGCGGCAUGCUUUACACAUGCAAGUCGAACGGUAACAGGGAGCCUGCUCCGCUGACGAGUGGCGAACGGGUGAGUAAUGCGUCGGAACGUGCCGAGUAGUGGGGGGAUAACGCAGCGAAAGUUGUGCUAAUACCGCAUACGUACUGAGGUAGAAAGUGGGGGACCUUCGGGCAUAACGCUAUUCGUGCGGCGGACGUCGGAUUAGCUAGUUGGUGAGGUAAAGGCUCACCAAGGCGACGAUCAGUAGCGGGUCUGAGAGGCUGAUCCGCCACACUGGGACUGAGACACGGCCCAGACUCCUACGGGAGGCAGCAGUGGGGAAUUUUGGACAAUGGGCGCAAGCCUGAUCCAGCCAUGCCGCGUGUCUGAAGAAGGCCUUCGGGUUGUAAAGGACUUUUGUCCGGGAGCAAAUGCUGGUGGCUAACAUCCACCGGAGCUGAGAGUACCGGAAGAAUAAGCACCGGCUAACUACGUGCCAGCAGCCGCGGUAACCC
rnacentral:rRNA from 1 species